rnacentral:rRNA from 1 species
UCCGUAGGUGAACCUGCGGAAGGAUCAUUAUCGUGGGGCUCCGGCCCCGUCGAGAUAGCACCCUUGCCUUUACAGUACCGCCCGUUUCCUCGGCAGGCUCGCCUGCCAAUGGGGACAACAAAACACCCUGAUACCACCUGUAACCGUCUGAUAAAACAAACAAAAAUCAAAACUUUCAACAACGGAUCUCUUGGUUCUGGCAUCGAUGAAGAACGCAGCGAAAUGCGAUAAGUAGUGUGAAUUGCAGAAUUCAGUGAAUCAUCGAAUCUUUGAACGCACAUUGCGCCUCCUGGUAUUCCGGGAGGCAUGCCUGUUCGAGCGUCAUCAAACACCAUCGUGCGAAUGAAUUUUCGCGCGGAAGUGACGAUUGAGCGAUAAAUUAUUUUGUUCGCACCUCGUCGAAAUGAUUGCGGGCGGAAUUUGAGAUCGGGUUCCUCGGCGUAGUGUACCAAUGCAUAUUUAUGUAACUUGCCGCGGAGUUGAGCCUGACCCACGCGUUCUCGCCGUACAAAACAUUAUUACUUUUACAAGUUUUUUGACCUCGGAUCAGGGUAGGGGAUACCCGGCUGGAACUUAAGGCCAUAUCAAUAAGGCGGGAGGGAAGUCGACUGGCCAAGGGGGCACACAGGGGGGGGAUA